GUGAAACCAUCUCUAUGAUCCCAUUUACUGAGCUUAAUAACAGCAAUCAAAGUAAUAGCUGUGUGCUUUAUAAACCUUUAAUUUAAUUCUUUAUCUGACAAUGUCUAACAUUUUUAAUUUAUUCUUCCUAUAUUCACACUGAGCACUUUCUACAAUUGCUAGUACAAAGUCUAGUAUUAAGAUAAUAAAAACAAUGGAAAUAAUUCAUGCUCUCCAAAAGGGUACAAUUUCUUUGCCUAUUCAUGCCACAACUUCACUGAGUGCCAUAUACCAUAACUAUGCUUUGUAUUGGUUAAUGGAAACAGAGAUCAGAAACAUCCUCUUCCCAACUGUGUGGAGAAGUAAGCAUAUAAACUAUCAUGACAGGGUCAGACAGGUGCUCGUCACCCCUAUUCCAGGGGUAGACAUGAGUGGGAACAAAAGUAUUCUGAAGAAGGUAAAAACCGAGCUGAGGGGCUGGCAAUAUGGCCUAUUGGUAAAGUGCUUGCC